rnacentral:misc_RNA from 1 species
UUUGCCAUAAUGACAGUUGGUGCUAAGUCGACGAUAUCAACAUUGUGUGAAAUGAAAUCAUGUGAAAGUCCCUCCAUCCUGGAUUGUUCUCACUUGAAUUCAUCAGUCAGUGGUCGCUGUUGUGUUAAAGAGAAGGAAACACUUUCUCCAUCUACAGUUACGGGUAUUGAUUUGAUUGGCUGCCAUUUGACGAACAUAUCAAGACUUUUUCACUCCAUGGGGCAUCUUGUUUUCCUAUACCUACACAAAAACAACAUCAGUGACAUUGAUGUUGAUGAUUUUACUGGAGUUAACGAGCUGAAGAACCUAACUCUGCCUCCGAAUUUGUCUUGUCCUGGUGGACAUAUUUUGUGGGACAAAGAAAUAAAUCACUCAGACAUGGUGGAAUGUGUGGAGGAACAGAGCACCUGCAAAGUUUUCAAUGUAACCUGCCCUAACUCCAAUAGCUACUGUUCUGAUGUAGGACCAAGGGUCACAGAGUGUUUGUGUAGUCCAGGUUACCAUGGUUACAAAUGUUUAAGAAAGGAUCAUUUUCCUACAGCGACAUUUGUGGUAGGAAUAUGUGUAAGCACGGUGGUGGUCUCGGCAUUUCUAUGGAUUACGCAGAGAAGGAAAGUGAAGAAGCACUAACACAGAGAUGUGUUGGACUCUCUAACUGGUCAAACUGGAAUCUGUUGUCCUUGACUGUGAUCAUUUUAUUAUACUCAUAUUCCAAGACUUGGGAUCAAAAGCUUUCAUUGUAUACAUGCAGGUUUGAUUAGUCAUUCAUACAUUAUGAAGUAUUCUUGUUCUUUUACGACUUUCUUAUGAUGUUUGACGAUUGUAUUUUUUUUAGGGUGCGUAAGACAUGCUAAUUGAUUCUUAUAUUUACCAGUAAGUACAUGUACGGGUAACAUCAAUUUUUAUUUUGGAAAUGCUGUGUUGUAAAGAGAAAAUAGGACUUAAAGGGUUUUUUUGCUGGUUGUUUUUGCAUCAAUGUAUAGAUUUGGAAGGACAGGGUGAAAUAACUUUUAACCAAAAAAAUUUAAAAACAGGAAUAUGAAAAAAUUUAAAUUGGUGUUUUCAGUAUUAUUAAUAAGUUUCAGUUAAUUGUCCACAACAGAAAUCCUAUUGGAAUUUUUCAAAUGACAGACUGUGGAUAUGUAUGUACAUGUAUAUCUAUGCAUGUGUGUUUUGUUUUAUUUUUAUUUUCAAAAGCAGUUUAAAUGUAGAAUCUAGUCAUAUGUGUAAUAUUCAUCGAAUUGUGAAGGAAACGCAUCAGAUAAUGCUAUAUACCUGUGAGAUUUUGGUUCAUAUGUUUAGCAAUUUAGUGCCAAAUGUUCAUUUAUGUGACCAUGUUUUCUUGAAUAAAUCAUAUGUGUGUUUAAUUUUUGUUUUCACUGGAAUGUUUAUUUAUAGUUUUAAAGUUUUUUGAUUGUUGACCAUUAAGAUAAAUGAUAGUUUGUUUCAUAAUGCCAUUGCUAUAUUUAUAUCAUUUAAUAACGUGACAUUGACAGGUGUCAGUAUUUUUUAUUAAUUAUUAUUAUUACAUUUAUUAAUCAUUUGAAUGUUCUAGAGAAGACUGCAAACUUGUACUUUUAGAUGUAUGAUAUAUCAUUUUUUUGUAUCCAAUCGUUCUUUUGUAUGUUUUACAUGAUAUUAAAACCACAGCAGAUG